UACCAGCACCCCGAGUGGUCGGGACGUUUAUUGGGCCUAAAGCAUCCGUAGCCGGUUCUACAAGUCCUCCGUUAAAUCCAACUGCUUAACAGGUGGGCUGCGGAAGAUACUAUAGAGCUAGGAGGCGGGAGAGGCAAGCGGUACUCGAUGGGUAGGGGUAAAAUCCGUUGAUCCAUUGAAGACCACCAGUGGCGAAGGCGGCUUGCCAGAACGCGCUCGACGGUGAGGGAUGAAAGCUGGGGGAGCAAACCGG
rnacentral:rRNA from 1 species